GACGAACGCUGGCGGCGUGCUUAACACAUGCAAGUCGGACGGUAAGGCCCUUCGGGGUACACGAGUGGCGAACGGGUGAGUAACACGUGGGUGAUCUACCCUGCACUUCGGGAUAAGCCUGGGAAACUGGGUCUAAUACCGGAUAGGACUCCGGACUGCAUGGUCUGGGGUGGAAAGCUUUUGCGGUGUGGGAUGGGCACGCGGCCUAUCAGGUUGUUGGUGGGGUGAUGGCCUACCAAGGCGACGACGGGUAGCCGGCCUGAGAGGGUGACCGGCCACACUGGGACUGAGAUACGGCCCAGACUCCUACGGGAGGCAGCAGUGGGGAAUAUUGCACAAUGGGCGCAAGCCUGAUGCAGCGACGCCGCGUGAGGGAUGACGGCCUUCGGGUUGUAAACCUCUUUCAGCACCGACGAAGCGCAAGUGACGGUAGGUGCAGAAGAAGGACCGGCCAACUACGUGCCAGCCGCCGCGGUAA
rnacentral:rRNA from 1 species